rnacentral:rRNA from 1 species
CCUACGGGAGGCUGCAGUGGGGAAUAUUGCACAAUGGGGGGAACCCCGAUGCAGCGACGCCGCGUGAGUGAAGAAGUAUUUCGGUAUGUAAAGCUCUAUCAGCAGGGAAGAAAAUGACGGUACCUGACUAAGAAGCCCCGGCUAACUACGUGCCAGCAGCCGCGGUAAUACGUAGGGGGCAAGCGUUAUCCGGAUUUACUGGGUGUAAAGGGAGCGUAGACGGUUAUGCAAGUCUGAAGUGAAAGCCCAAGGCUCAACCAUGGGACUGCUUUGGAAACUGUUUUUCUUGAGUACCGGAGAGGUCAUCGGAAUUCCUUGUGUAGCGGUGAAAGGCGUAGAUAUAAGGAAGAACACCAGUGGCGAAGGCGGAUGACUGGACGGCAACUGACGGUGAGGCGCGAAAGCGUGGGGAGCAAACAGGAUUAGAUACCCGGUAGUC